AUGUCUUCCUGGAGAUUGCUCCUUGUGGAGUUUUUGUGAGCCUACAAUACCGAAGAGCACCUUUCUUUUAUAUCUGAUUAUCUUUUCCAAUCAGAUUUGGAGUCUCAAAGGAAGAAGAAACUCAUCCUCCUGAAAGAUGAAUCUGUAACUGUCUACUGCAGAACUCCUGUUGCUCUUCUCAAGCCAUCCACCUCUUCCCGUCAAUGAUCUUUUACCCUAACUCAGCCAAAAGAGCACUGGCUGUGGCAUGGAUCCCUGUGGAUUCUGAAAGGCUUAUGUCACUUUCUGGGCCUGAACUACCUUUUUGUCACAGCAUCACAAAGAGCUAUGCAGAGAUGCCCUAUGAAACUCCAGCUAUCUAUUCAAAGAGGCUUUCGGAUUAGGUUUCUUUUUACUUUUGCUCAGUAUGUCUGAGUUUGAUUUGUUUGAUACUGAUUUUGAAUCCAGAAGUUGAGUUUGACCACAAUAAAGCAUUUAUGUGUUAG
ensembl:lncRNA